AGAUUAAGUUAUUAAGGGCGCACGGUGGAUGCCUUGGCACUAGAAGCCGAUGAAGGACGUUACUAACGACGAUAUGCUUUGGGGAGCUGUAAGUAAGCUUUGAUCCAGAGAUUUCCGAAUGGGGAAACCCAGCAUGAGUUAUGUCAUGUUAUCGAUAUGUGAAUACAUAGCAUAUCAGAAGGCACACCCGGAGAACUGAAACAUCUUAGUACCCGGAGGAAGAGAAAGAAAAUUCGAUUCCCUUAGUAGCGGCGAGCGAAACGGGAAGAGCCCAAACCAACAAGCUUGCUUGUUGGGGUUGUAGGACACUCUAUACGGAGUUACAAAGGACGACAUUAGACGAAUCAUCUGGAAAGAUGAAUCAAAGAAGGUAAUAAUCCUGUAGUCGAAAAUGUUGUCUCUCUUGAGUGGAUCCUGAGUACGACGGAGCACGUGAAAUUCCGUCGGAAUCUGGGAGGACCAUCUCCUAAGGCUAAAUACUCUCUAGUGACCGAUAGUGAACCAGUACCGUGAGGGAAAGGUGAAAAGCACCCCGGAAGGGGAGUGAAAUAGAACCUGAAACCGUGUGCUUACAAGUAGUCAGAGCCCGUUAAUGGGUGAUGGCGUGCCUUUUGUAGAAUGAACCGGCGAGUUACGAUUUGAUGCAAGGUUAAGCAGUAAAUGUGGAGCCGUAGCGAAAGCGAGUCUGAAUAGGGCGUUUAGUAUUUGGUCGUAGACCCGAAACCAGGUGAUCUACCCUUGGUCAGGUUGAAGUUCAGGUAACACUGAAUGGAGGACCGAACCGACUUACGUUGAAAAGUGAGCGGAUGAACUGAGGGUAGCGGAGAAAUUCCAAUCGAACCUGGAGAUAGCUGGUUCUCUCCGAAAUAGCUUUAGGGCUAGCCUCAAGUGAUGAUUAUUGGAGGUAGAGCACUGUUUGGACGAGGGGCCCCUCUCGGGUUACCGAAUUCAGACAAACUCCGAAUGCCAAUUAAUUUAACUUGGGAGUCAGAACAUGGGUGAUAAGGUCCGUGUUCGAAAGGGAAACAGCCCAGACCACCAGCUAAGGUCCCAAAAUAUAUGUUAAGUGGAAAAGGAUGUGGCGUUGCCCAGACAACUAGGAUGUUGGCUUAGAAGCAGCCAUCAUUUAAAGAGUGCGUAAUAGCUCACUAGUCGAGUGACACUGCGCCGAAAAUGUACCGGGGCUAAACAUAUUACCGAAGCUGUGGAUUGUCCUUUGGACAAUGGUAGGAGAGCGUUCUAAGGGCGUUGAAGCAUGAUCGUAAGGACAUGUGGAGCGCUUAGAAGUGAGAAUGCCGGUGUGAGUAGCGAAAGACGGGUGAGAAUCCCGUCCACCGAUUGACUAAGGUUUCCAGAGGAAGGCUCGUCCGCUCUGGGUUAGUCGGGUCCUAAGCUGAGGCCGACAGGCGUAGGCGAUGGAUAACAGGUUGAUAUUCCUGUACCACCUAUAAUCGUUUUAAUCGAUGGGGGGACGCAGUAGGAUAGGCGAAGCGUGCGAUUGGAUUGCACGUCUAAGCAGUAAGGCUGAGUAUUAGGCAAAUCCGGUACUCGUUAAGGCUGAGCUGUGAUGGGGAGAAGACAUUGUGUCUUCGAGUCGUUGAUUUCACACUGCCGAGAAAAGCCUCUAGAUAGAAAA
rnacentral:rRNA from 1 species